GACGAACGCUGGCGGCGUGCUUAACACAUGCAAGUCGAACGGAAAGGCCCUGCUUUUGUGGGGUGCUCGAGGGGCGAACGGGUGAGUAACACGUGAGUAACCUGCCCUUGACUGUGGGAUAACUUCAGGAAACUGGGGCUAAUACCGGAUAGGAGCUCCUGCUGCAUGGGGGGGGUUGGAAAGUUUCGGCGGUUGGGGAUGGACUCGCGGCUUAUCAGCUUGUGGGGGGGGUAGUGGCUUACCAAGGCUUUGACGGGUAGCCGGCCUGGGAGGGUGACCGGCCCCAUUGGGACUGGGAUACGGCCCAGACUCCUACGGGAGGCAGCGGUGGGGAAUAUUGCACAAUGGGCGGAAGCCUGAUGCAGCAACGCCGCGUGCGGGAUGACGGCCUUCGGGUUGUAACCCGCUUUCGCCUGUGACGAAGCGUGAGUGACGGUACUGGGUAAAGAAGCACCGGCUAACUACGUG
rnacentral:rRNA from 1 species